rnacentral:lncRNA from 1 species
GGGUGAAAGGUAAGAGGUAGGAGAUCGCAUUUAGUGUGCAUUUAAUAUCAUUGCUCUCGGAGAACCUUUGGUAGGUACCCUUCCUGACGACGAAGUGAAGAUGAAUAGUGAACGAUUAGUUACCAGACGACAUCAAAGGAGAAAUUGUGAAGGUGUUUGAAGUGACUCGACCCUACAUAUGAGACACUUUCCUUACUCUUCGUUCUCAAAAACCCCACUCUUCUUUAUCGGCUUCUUGAUCACUGUAAGGGAUUUCAAGUUAUGAGGGCAAAGGCAAUUGAGGGUUUUAAAUGUUUUUGUAAGUUAAGGUUGGAUUGAUUGGAUAUUUAGUUAUAUAUUGCAUUAUGAUUGACUAUUUUUUACAUUCUUUUCUCUCUAUUUUUUAUGAAUAUUUUUUAUCACGUCCA